AGACAAGACUGGGACCAUUUCCACCAGCUGUCUCCAACUACAUUCUUUCGGUCUGAAUUUAGAUUGUCAUCCAAUGAGCAAAGACCAUUUCCGCUUCCGAAUCCUGCAGCUUGUGACUGUCCCUUUAAAAAGCGUUGCAGCAGUGGGAGAGAGGGCGAAGUAGCUGAUGGAGCACUUUCCCAGGUUGAGCGUCCUCCCCCACUGCAGUUGGCUUGAUCCACAUUUCAUCCGCAUCCUUAACUCCAGCUGCAAGAAGCUUUUGAUGCUUCCUCGCCCCUUUGCCUUCUCUGUCAGUACUUAGGCCCAGAUGGGAAUGAACGACAAGAGAAGUAAAGAAGGCUAUGAAGAGGAAUGAGCACUGGAACGGGAGUCCGCAGAUCUGAAACACAUCAUCUGACCCUCUGUCUACUCCCUGUAUGGCUGCAGGCCCUCUCCUCACCCGGCCUAGCCCUUUGCUGUGAAGUUGGUUCAUGCAGGAGCAAUGAGGAGCAUGGGAUGGAGGGGAGUGAUUUGGGAAGGUUGAAGUCAGUGUGACCCCAGAAACUACAUUUGAACAUCACGCAUGAAGCCCUCACCAGAAACUGACCGGAUCUGCGUGCCCAAUCUUGGACCUCCCAACCUCCAGAAUCAUGAGCUGAAUAAACCUUUUCUUUAUAAAUUA
rnacentral:lncRNA from 1 species